AGCGAGCGCUGGCGGCAGGCUUAACACAUGCAAGUCGAGCGGGCAUCUUCGGAUGUCAGCGGCAGACGGGUGAGUAACACGUGGGAACGUACCCUUCGGUUCGGAACAACUCUGGGAAACUGGAGCUAAUACCGGAUACGCCCUUAUGGGGAAAGGUUUACUGCCGAAGGAUCGGCCCGCGUCUGAUUAGCUAGUUGGUGGGGUAACGGCCUACCAAGGCGACGAUCAGUAGCUGGUCUGAGAGGAUGAUCAGCCACACUGGGACUGAGACACGGCCCAGACUCCUACGGGAGGCAGCAGUGGGGAAUAUUGGACAAUGGGCGCAAGCCUGAUCCAGCCAUGCCGCGUGAGUGAUGAAGGCCUUAGGGUUGUAAAGCUCUUUUGUCCGGGACGAUAAUGACGGUACCGGAAGAAUAAGCCCCGGCUAACUUCGUG
rnacentral:rRNA from 1 species